GCGGGUGUAGUUCAAUGGCAGAAUGCAUGCUUCCCAAGCAUGAAACGGCGGUUCGAUUCCGCUCACCCGCU
rfam:Parcubacteria bacterium GW2011_GWA2_47_26 TX98_C0008, whole genome shotgun sequence.